GUGAGCCACCGCGGGGGGCACCGCGUGACGCUCCGCGCGCUGGUGACGCCACAAUCCUUGUCACGCCGCAGCGUGACGCCUCCAGGAAUCGCGGCGCCGCCGCAGGUCGUUGCGACGCUGCCAGUGCGAGUUGUGAUGCCAGCAGGGCCUAGUGGUUUCAGAUCUGAGACCCGCCGGCGAAUGACGGCAGAAGCGCUGUGAGAAGAUCAGAGCCAAGAGGGGCAGGAACAUGAGGCCAAGGGCCAGAGCGCUGGAUCCUUUGUGAGGAGUACAGUCCAAUUGCCAGCUGUCUCGGGAGCCUGGGCAUCAUCCUACGCAGCUCAAGGGUUUCUGGGGUGUCCAGUGUCCAGCAAUGGAGGACCCUGAAGAGCACCAGGAGUCAUCAACAUGCGCUGUGGUCUGCAAUGUGGAGGUGGCACUCUGCACCGCGGGGAUGAAAUCACCCCAGGCGUCCAGGGAGAAAGCCGCAGAGGAGCCCUCCCACCCAGCCAGCGGUUUAGGAGAACUUACGUGACGCAGACUUUCCAAGCAUACCUCCGUGUUUCUGGCCGGUCAUGCUUCCCUCUCCCUGCAGCAUGCAUGACCGUUGCCUGGCAGGUGCUGACUUGCUCCUCGGUCAGCAGGGGAUGAAAUGCAGCCGGCGCAGGCGCUGUCGGGCUCCCACAGAGGCCUGGGACAGCUGAGUCCUCUUCCCAUCAGAAAUUUGAAGCUGGCCCGUCUCCUGCAGCGCGGUGUCAGCCUGAGAAACUGUGGAGGAGCACCAUGAAAGCAAAAUGAGGGGCCACGUGGGUGCCUUCCUGCAACAAAACAGUUGCCCUCUGUACUGCUUUAGAAAAGCUGCGCUCUGAUCCAGCACAGCAACUUCAUCAUUUCAGGCUUUGGGGUCCAGCAGGAGAGCGCUUCCAGGAAAUGAAGCCCUUGAGAGAAAACCUUCAAUUUAAAGCCUGGGACAUCUCAGCAAAUGCAUCUGAGUCUCCCACCCAGGCAUCAUCCAUCCCAGGGUUCAGGGUUCAUCUAGUUGGAAGAAGAGGAUGCAGGAGGAUCUGCUGAUGGGGAUACACCGGGACUUCAGCCCCCUCCUGGUACUCAAGCAUGAGAGUUAGGAGCCGGACGUCUGGUCCUAGGCCGCUGCAGUGAUCAGGGAGUGAGAGGAGCACAAUGUCGGUGGCUCUUCAUUAAAGCCUCUGCUAAGCUAGUUUCGACCUGGCUCCUGCUGGCCCAACGCCAUUGCCGUCUGCUCCUGGCUGUCACCGUGCUCUUUGCUCACACAGCCAUGGCUCAUGGAGCAAAGGCUUUAAUGGAGAGCCACUGACAGCGGUCAUCUGGCUUUUCCCAUCUACCACAUCACGCUGCCCAGGGUCUCGGGUUAGCCGGGGUGCUAAGGAGGUGGCCGUGGUCUGGUUACCCUUACUGCUUCCCUCUCCGGCAUGGCUGAUGGCGUGUGGAGAAGUUCCCUGAUCAGGACCACUUGCUUUUCAUCCAACCUGCCAGAGCUCCCUGUGUGCAUGUCCAGACCUACCUGGGAUGGCAGAGUUUCACUUCUGUUCACUAGUUGAAGCUGUGUGGUUCGAAAUGCAGAACACGAUCCCUAUAGCUAGGGCAAAGGGGUGCUGCCUCUCCACAGCCGCCAUGCAUUGCCCAUGGCGCUCUCGUCUCGCCUGGAAGCAGUUGCAGCACCAGCUCUUCCUGCAGUUCAGUGCUCGAUAGAUGUGAGCUGUGAUCGAGCAGAAGCGUUCCAGUUCACUGCAACGUGAGGGUGAACCAGCUUGGGCAGCAGAAGUGGUUGCCUUUGAUCAUCGCCUUGAUCAGACCUACUGCAAGGUUUUGGAUCUCAGCAUCCUCUGUUGUAUUAAGUAGUCUGGCAGCCAUGACAAGUGCUGUGCGCUUAACCAUUGCUUUGGACACUGGAUUGCUUCUAGUCGCAACCCCAGAAGGGAGACUGAUUUGCCCUGUUCAGCUGGGACCCAGCGGGUGUGCUUUCAAGGUUUGGUGCUCACCAUUGCCACGUUGCAGUCCUCUGGUGUAUCCACUUCUGAAGUGUGACCUGUUCAGAGCAGGAGCAAAAAGCAUUAAUAAAUUCUUAACU